rnacentral:rRNA from 1 species
CGCUAGCUACAGGCUUAACACAUGCAAGUCGAGGGGCAGCAUGGUCUUAGCUUGCUAAGGCCGAUGGCGACCGGCGCACGGGUGAGUAACACGUAUCCAACCUGCCGUCUACUCUUGGACAGCCUUCUGAAAGGAAGAUUAAUACAAGAUGGCAUCAUGAGUCCGCAUGUUCACAUGAUUAAAGGUAUUCCGGUAGACGAUGGGGAUGCGUUCCAUUAGAUAGUAGGCGGGGUAACGGCCCACCUAGUCUUCGAUGGAUAGGGGUUCUGAGAGGAAGGUCCCCCACAUUGGAACUGAGACACGGUCCAAACUCCUACGGGAGGCAGCAGUGAGGAAUAUUGGUCAAUGGGCGAGAGCCUGAACCAGCCAAGUAGCGUGAAGGAUGACUGCCCUAUGGGUUGUAAACUUCUUUUAUAAAGGAAUAAAGUCGGGUAUGGAUACCCGUUUGCAUGUACUUUAUGAAUAAGGAUCGGCUAACUCCGUGCCAGCAGCCGCGGUAAUACGGAGGAUCCGAGCGUUAUCCGGAUUUAUUGGGUUUAAAGGGAGCGUAGAUGGAUGUUUAAGUCAGUUGUGAAAGUUUGCGGCUCAACCGUAAAAUUGCAGUUGAUACUGGAUAUCUUGAGUGCAGUUGAGGCAGGCGGAAUUCGUGGUGUAGCGGUGAAAUGCUUAGAUAUCACGAAGAACUCCGAUUGCGAAGGCAGCCUGCUAAGCUGCAACUGACAUUGAGGCUCGAAAGUGUGGGUAUCAAACAGGAUUAGAUACCCUGGUAGUCCACACGGUAAACGAUGAAUACUCGCUGUUUGCGAUAUACGGCAAGCGGCCAAGCGAAAGCGUUAAGUAUUCCACCUGGGGAGUACGCCGGCAACGGUGAAACUCAAAGGAAUUGACGGGGGCCCGCACAAGCGGAGGAACAUGUGGUUUAAUUCGAUGAUACGCGAGGAACCUUACCCGGGCUUAAAUUGCAGAUGAAUUACGGUGAAAGCCGUAAGCCGCAAGGCAUCUGUGAAGGUGCUGCAUGGUUGUCGUCAGCUCGUGCCGUGAGGUGUCGGCUUAAGUGCCAUAACGAGCGCAACCCUUGUUGUCAGUUACUAACAGGUUCUGCUGAGGACUCUGACAAGACUGCCAUCGUAAGAUGUGAGGAAGGUGGGGAUGACGUCAAAUCAGCACGGCCCUUACGUCCGGGGCUACACACGUGUUACAAUGGGGGGUACAGAGGGCCGCUACCACGCGAGUGGAUGCCAAUCCCAAAAACCUCUCUCAGUUCGGACUGGAGUCUGCAACCCGACUCCACGAAGCUGGAUUCGCUAGUAAUCGCGCAUCAGCCACGGCGCGGUGAAUACGUUCCCGGGCCUUGUACACACCGCCCGUCAAGCCAUGGGAGCCGGGGGUACCUAAAGUGCGUAACCGCGAGGAGCGCCCUAGGGUAAAACU